rnacentral:rRNA from 1 species
UACAGAGGGGGCAAGCGUUGUUCGGAAUUACUGGGCGUAAAGGGCGCGUAGGCGGCCUGCUAAGUCGAACGUGAAAUCCCUGGGCUCAACCCAGGAACUGCGUCCGAUACUGGUUGGCUUGAAUCCGGGAGAGGGAUGUGGAAUUCCAGGUGUAGCGGUGAAAUGCGUAGAUAUCGGGAGGAACACCGGUGGCGAAGGCGGCCCCCUGGUUGGAUACUGACGCUGAGACGCGAAAGCGUGGGGAGCAAACAGG